GUAGUCUGCCAUACGCAGGAAGACCCGCUGAACUGAAGCAUCUCAUUAAGCGGAGGAAAAGAAACUAACUAGGAUUCCCUUAGUAAAGGCGAUCGAAAAGGGAACAGCCCAACGUCUUAAUCCCGCAAGGGAAAUGUAGUCGGUUCACCUAUUGCACUGGUCUAAGUCAGAUGGAAUGCUGCGCGAUUCAGAGUAAAAGCCUCGUAUGACCAACCGCAAGCUUACGAUGGACCGGGGAGAGUCGGAUACUUUGAGAGUAGUGUCUUAAGGGGGUGGUAUGUCCCAUCCAAGGCUAAAUAACGUGAGGAGACCGAUAGAUUACAAGUAGUGUGAACGAAAGAUGAAAAGAACUCUAAAACAGAGGGUGAAAAGUU
rfam:Trichomonas vaginalis G3, whole genome shotgun sequence.